GAACGGGUGAGUAACACGUGAGUAACCUGCCCCCUUCUUUGGGAUAACGGUCGGAAACGGCUGCUAAUACCGGGUAUUCACUGUCCUUCGCAUGGGGGGUGGUGGAAAGGUUUUUUCUGGUGGGGGAUGGGCUCGCGGCCUAUCAGCUUGUUGGUGGGGUGAUGGCUUACCAAGGCUUUGACGGGUAACCGGCCUGAGAGGGUGACCGGUCACAUUGGGACUGAGAUACGGCCCAGACUCCUACGGGAGGCAGCAGUGGGGAAUAUUGCACAAUGGGCGAAAGCCUGAUGCAGCGACGCCGCGUGAGGGAUGACGGCCUUCGGGUUGUAAACCUCUUUCGCUCAUGGUCAAGCCGCAACAGUGGUUGUGGUGAGGGUAGUGGGUAAAGAAGCACCGGCUAACUACGUGCCAGCAGCCGCGGUAAUACGUAGGGUGCGAGCGUUGUCCGGAAUUAUUGGGCGUAAAGGGCUUGUAGGCGGUUUGUCGCGUCUGCCGUGAAAUCCUCUGGCUUAACUGGGGGCGUGCGGUGGGUACGGGCAGGCUUGAGUGCGGUAGGGGAGACUGGAACUCCUGGUGUAGCGGUGGAAUGCGCAGAUAUCAGGAAGAACACCGGUGGCGAAGGCGGGUCUCUGGGCCG
rnacentral:rRNA from 1 species